rnacentral:rRNA from 1 species
AUUGACCGCUGGCGGCAGGCCUAACACAUGCAAGUCGAGCGAGCGGCGGACGGGUGAGUAAUGUAUGGGGACUGCCCGAUAGAGGGGGAUAACUCCUGGCAACGGUAGCUAAUACCGCAUACUAUCGGAUAACCCAUAUGGGAUUAGCUCGUAGGUGAGGUAAGGGCUAACCUACGCGACGAUCCCUAGAUCGUCUGAGAGGAUGAUCAGCCAAACUGGGACUGAGAAACGGCCCAGACGCCUACGGAGGCAGCAGUGGGGAAUAAUGCACAAUGGGCGAAAGCCUGAUGCAGCCAUGCCGAGUGUAUGAAGAAGGCCCGAGGGUGGUAAAGUACUUUCAGUCGGGAGGCGUUACCGACAGAAGAAGCACCGGCUAACUCCGUGCCAGCAGCGGCGGUAAUAC